UACGUAGGGGGCUAGCGUUGUCCGGAAUCAUUGGGCGUAAAGAGCGUGUAGGCGGCCCGAUAAGUCCGCCGUGAAAGUCCAGGGCUCAACCCUGGAAUGCCGGUGGAAACUGUCGGGCUGGAGUCCGGAAGAGGCGAGUGGAAUUCCUGGUGUAGCGGUGAAAUGCGCAGAUAUCAGGAAGAACACCCGUGGCGAAAGCGGCUCUCUGGAACGGUACUGACGCUGAGACGCGAAAGCGUGGGGAGCGAACAGG
rnacentral:rRNA from 1 species